UACGAAGGUCCCAAGCGUUAUCCGGAUUUAUUGGGUUUAAAGCGCGCGUAGGCGGCUUAGCAAGUUAGAGGUGAAAGCCCGGAGCUUAACUCCGGAAUUGCCUUUAAAACUGCAAAGCUAGAAUCAUGGAGAGGUGAGUGGAAUUCCGAGUGUAGAGGUGAAAUUCGUAGAUAUUCGGAAGAACACCAGUGGCGAAGGCGACUCACUGGACAUGUAUUGACGCUGAGGAGCGAAAGCCAGGGGAGCAAACGGG
rnacentral:rRNA from 1 species